rnacentral:rRNA from 1 species
UGCCUAAAACAUAGUGUUAAUGCAUCAUAUCCCAUUAGAACUUCGCAGUUAAUCGUGCUUGGGCUAGAGAAGUAUUGGGAUGGGUGAUCGCCUGGGAAGUCGUAGUAUUUUACAUGC